AAUCCCCGGUUUAGAACGAUACCCUACUUACAUCUAUACUACAAUUGUCAAAAAGAGGGUUUAAUUUGUGUGCUUAUAAUAUUUCGCAUCAAACUCCUUGUUGAUCGUGUUGAGUGGACUCAUUCUCUAUUGAGCACCUACAUGCUUGUCUUGGUGUCAGUCACACCAAUGACUCGAGACCAGUCACUCUCCAUAAGAGAAGACAUAACACGUACUGAUCUUAACGGACUGUCAAUGCCCAAUUGGCAAUCCUAUGAUCAGGAACAUUUAGGAUAUGUAUACAGAAGAGAAUGGUCUCAUGAAUCUAAGUUCUUUAGAUCGCAUUCUCCCAAUUACAUAUUCGUUGGACUUAUCGUUUAAGCGUAUAACAUUUAUAUGAGAUGGCUUCAAACAAUAAUCUUUGCCCUUUAAAUUAAACUAUAUUAGUUUAACAUGUGAAAUGUCCGUAAAGUAUCAUCAUAUGAUUGGUUUUAGGGCACAUUUCCAACAAGGAAGUAGUUAGGUACAUUUCGAGAACGUAUAUCUAUGGCGUCAUUUCUCAAAAUUUUAUUGAGAUACCACUGAAACGGCAAGUUGAAUACACCAUCGAUCUACUAUCUUGUAAUGCACCAGUUUUCCUUGCGCCUUUUCGAAUGACUCAUACGAUAUUGAAGGAACUCAGUUGCCAAAGAUUACUGAUUAAGAAAUUACACAACCAAACACUUUGUCUUAAGGAACCUAAAACCUGGUCAAGAAAACAAAAUACUGAACCUUAGGAUCGUACCUAGAUUUUAACAACUCACUCCAGUAAUGAUUAAAACCUUAAUACCUAUACUUGGAAUUGAUGGUUUAGCCGACCAACCCUUGUAACCCUAGUUUUCUUCCAUAGCCUGACGAAUUCAUAGUGGUCUUAUCGACGACUUUCUCAUCUACCUUGGCAAUGAGACCAAAUUAUCUAAACACCAAUAGUCAGCUUUAUACCAAAUUGUUCAA
rnacentral:lncRNA from 1 species